UACGGAGGGAGCUAGCGUUGUUCGGAAUUACUGGGCGUAAAGCGCACGUAGGCGGCUUUGUAAGUUAGAGGUGAAAGCCUGGAGCUCAACUCCAGAAUAGCCUUUAAGACUGCAUCGCUUGAAUCCAGGAGAGGUGAGUGGAAUUCCGAGUGUAGAGGUGAAAUUCGUAGAUAUUCGGAAGAACACCAGUGGCGAAGGCGGCUCACUGGACUGGUAUUGACGCUGAGGUGGCGAAAGCGUGGGGAGCAAACAGG
rnacentral:rRNA from 1 species